GGGACACGUGGUAUCCUGUCUGAAUAUGGGGGGACCAUCCUCCAAGGCUAAAUACUCCUGACUGACCGAUAGUGAACCAGUACCGUGAGGGAAAGGCGAAAAGAACCCCGGCGAGGGGAGUGAAAAAGAACCUGAAACCGUGUACGUACAAGCAGUGGGAGCACGCUUAGGCGUGUGACUGCGUACCUUUUGUAUAAUGGGUCAGCGACUUAUAUUCUGUAGCAAGGUUAACCGAAUAGGGGAGCCGAAGGGAAACCGAGUCUUAACUGGGCGUUAAGUUGCAGGGUAUAGACCCGAAACCCGGUGAUCUAGCCAUGGGCAGGUUGAAGGUUGGGUAACACUAACUGGAGGACCGAACCGACUAAUGUUGAAAAAUUAGCGGAUGACUUGUGGCUGGGGGUGAAAGGCCAAUCAAACCGGGAGAUAGCUGGUUCUCCCCGAAAGCUAUUUAGGUAGCGCCUCGUGAAUUCAUCUCCGGGGGUAGAGCACUGUUUCGGCAAGGGGGUCAUCCCGACUUACCAACCCGAUGCAAACUGCGAAUACCGGAGAAUGUUAUCACGGGAGACACACGGCGGGUGCUAACGUCCGUCGUGAAGAGGGAAACAACCCAGACCGCCAGCUAAGGUCCCAAAGUCAUGGUUAAGUGGGAAACGAUGUGGGAAGGCCCAGACAGCCAGGAUGUUGGCUUAGAAGCAGCCAUCAUUUAAAGAAAGCGUAAUAGCUCACUGGUCGAGUCGGCCUGCGCGGAAGAUGUAACGGGGCUAAACCAUGCACCGAAGCUGCGGCAGCGACGCUUAUGCGUUGUUGGGUAGGGGAGCGUUCUGUAAGCCUGUGAAGGUGUGCUGUGAGGCAUGCUGGAGGUAUCAGAAGUGCGAAUGCUGACAUAAGUAACGAUAAAGCGGGUGAAAAGCCCGCUCGCCGGAAGACCAAGGGUUCCUGUCCAACGUUAAUCGGGGCAGGGUGAGUCGACCCCUAAGGCGAGGCCGAAAGGCGUAGUCGAUGGGAAACAGGUUAAUAUUCCUGUACUUGGUGUUACUGCGAAGGGGGGACGGAGAAGGCUAUGUUGGCCGGGCGACGGUUGUCCCGGUUUAAGCGUGUAGGCUGGUUUUCCAGGCAAAUCCGGAAAAUCAAGGCUGAGGCGUGAUGACGAGGCACUACGGUGCUGAAGCAACAAAUGCCCUGCUUCCAGGAAAAGCCUCUAAGCAUCAGGUAACAUCAAAUCGUACCCCAAACCGACACAGGUGGUCAGGUAGAGAAUACCAAGGCGCUUGAGAGAACUCGGGUGAAGGAACUAGGCAAAAUGGUGCCGUAACUUCGGGAGAAGG
rnacentral:rRNA from 1 species